UACAGAGGGUGCGAGCGUUAAUCGGAAUUACUGGGCGUAAAGCGCGCGUAGGCGGUUUUGUAAGUCGGGUGUGAAAUCCCCAAGCUUAACUUGGGAACUGCAUUCGAGACUGCAUAGCUAGAGUAUGGGAGAGGGAAGUGGAAUUUCAGGUGUAGCGGUGAAAUGCGUAGAUAUCUGAAGGAACAUCAGUGGCGAAAGCGACUUCCUGGACCAAUACUGACGCUCAUGUGCGGAAGCGUGGGGAGCAAACAGG
rnacentral:rRNA from 1 species